AAAUGUCGAGGAGGUCGAAAUUCUAGCUACGGAGGCCAUUGCAAUGAUCGAGAACUGGAUGCUCGAGGUGAAGCUGCGGAUCGCUCACCACAAGACGGAGAUGGUGCUGGUUAGUAACCACAAGAAGGUGCAGCAGGCCCAGAUACACGUUGGGGAACACGUAGUUGUAACCAGUGGGUGUGUUGUGAGAGAAUUCCGGUGACACAGAGGCAGGGGAGUGCGUGUGUUCGUGGAUAGUGAGACGAGUCGGUUUAUGUCUCCCGUGUACGGACGCAGCCAUUUCCGUACUAAAGCGCCUAUAACGAGGAGCAGUUCUGCUAGCCACCACCAGAGGGCCGAGGAUCAACGAAUGGGCGGCCAUUGGGGGUGGCGAAACUGAUGAUGAUGAUGGGCGGGUUUUCCAGGAUUCGCCGGAUUAGAGGUUCGCGGGAUGAGGCCCGGAUUUUCAUCGGCCAUUUGCCCGGUGUAUUGAAGUGCGACAAGUCGCGAAAGCCGUCGUAGCUUCGACUACAGCUCGACGGAGUGUUGUGAAGUGCCAGUGCCAGGAAGCGGUCAAAGGACUUCACGGAGGACAGAGGAGACUGGGAGAAGCGAGAACUCCAGGAACUCCAGAACCCCUUAGUCUAGGACUAAAGUUCGCGUAGCUUCGCUACGGAACAUCCCCCGGUUCGGUCGUUGUUCCACCCCAACAUCCGUGACCGUGAGCGUCACCGUCUACCGUCGUCAAUUGCGGUAUCGACGAGCAGCGACUAGCCGGCAUCGCUAGGUCGUCUGCGUCCUCCAUUUUGGAACCCUUCGAACCACAAGCCACCCAGAGAACCACCUGGUUCCGAAAGACCUGUCCCACGACUCAAACCCAGCGCCGGAAACCGGGCAAUUCCCACAGAACUUCGGUGACGUGGAAGCUCGAGUCCGUCACUAUACUCGAGGGCGCGAGGGACAGGCACACGAAGGGGACAGCGAAGUCUGCAGCAGCAACCACAACGACACCGGGACGCCGGUGAGUUCAACGUCCACCCCCAGGCCAGCGAGCAGCAGAACGAGACGGCCGGAGGUCGGUUCCGGAGAUCCGGAAGCAGAGCAGCGGCAGGCGUAGCUGAGGGGCCCCACAUCAGCAGAAGAUCUACCCACGGUAUCCGGGAAGAAGCAGGUCGACGUAGGAGGUAGCCUGUAAGGAAGUGGGUUAGUGUGAAUGGAUAGGAGGUCAGGUAGAAGAGGAAGCCGGUGUAAUAAAGUGACGUCAGAGAAUAAACCGAGGAGUUUAUCUUGAAGCGA